GGGGGUCUGAGAGGAUGGUCCCCCACACUGGUACUGAGACACGGACCAGACUCCUACGGGAGGCAGCAGUGAGGAAUAUUGGGCAAUGGACGCAAGUCUGACCCAGCCAUGCCGCGUGCAGGAUGACUGCCCUAUGGGUUGUAAACUGCUUUUAUUUGGGAAGAAACCCCUGCUCGUGAGCAGGGCUGACGGUACCAAAAGAAUAAGCAUCGGCUAACUCCGUGCCAGCAGCCGCGGUAAUACGGAGGAUGCAAGCGUUAUCCGGAUUUAUUGGGUUUAAAGGGUGCGCAGGCGGGAGAUUAAGUCAGUGGUGAAAUCCUGCAGCUUAACUGUAGAAUUGCCAUUGAUACUGAUUUUCUUGAGUGCAGUUGAGGUGGGCGGAAUGUGUAAUGUAGCGGUGAAAUGCUUAGAUAUUACACAGAACACCGAUUGCGUAGGCAGCUCACUAAACUGUUACUGACGCUCAGGCACGAAAGCGUGGGGAGCGAACAGGAUUAGGUACCCUGGUAGUCCACGCCGUAAACUAUGAUCACUCGUUGUUGGCAAUAAACCGUCAGCGACUAAGCUAAAGCAAUAAGUGAUCCACCUGGGGAGUACGGUCGCAAGAUUGAAACUCAAAGGAAUUGACGGGGGCCCGCACAAGCGGAGGAACAUGUGGUUUAAUUCGAUGAUACGCGAGGAACCUUACCUGGGCUUAAAUGCAGAACGAUUUCCGCCGAAAGGUGGUUUCCUUCGGGCGUUUUGCAAGGUGCUGCAUGGUUGUCGUCAGCUCGUGCCGUGAGGUGUCGGGUUAAGUCCCAUAACGAGCGCAACCCUCAUCGUUAGUUGCCAUCGGGUAAUGCCGGGGACUCUAACGAAACUGCCGGUGUAAACCGUGAGGAAGGUGGGGAUGACGUCAAAUCAGCACGGCCCUUAUGUCCAGGGCUACACACGUGUUACAAUGGCCAGUACAAAGGGCAGCUACCUGGUGACAGGAUGCUAAUCUCUAAAACUGGUCUCAGUUCGGAUCGAAGUCUGCAACUCGACUUCGUGAAGGUGGAUUCGCUAGUAAUCGCGCAUCAGCAACGGCGUGGUGAAUACGUUCCCGGGCCUUGUACACACCGCCCGUCAAGCCAUGGAAGCUGGGGGUGCCUGAAGUUCGUAACCGUAAGGAGCGACCUAGGGUAAAACUAGCGACUGGGGCUAAGUCGUAACAAGGUA
rnacentral:rRNA from 1 species